UACGUAGGGUGCAAGCGUUAAUCGGAAUUACUGGGCGUAAAGCGUGCGCAGGCGGCUUUGCAAGACAGAUGUGAAAUCCCCGGGCUUAACCUGGGAACUGCAUUUGUGACUGCAUGGCUGGAGUGCGGCAGAGGGGAUGGAAUUCCGGCGUGUAGCAGUGAAAUGCGUAGAUAUGCGGAGGAACACCGAUGGCGAAGGCAAUCCCCUGGGCCUGCACUGACGCUCAUGCACGAAAGCGUGGGAGCAAGCACG
rnacentral:rRNA from 1 species